rnacentral:rRNA from 1 species
UACAGAGGGGGCAAGCGUUGUUCGGAAUUACUGGGCGUAAAGGGCGCGUAGGCGGCCUGUUAAGUCGGACGUGAAAUCCCUCGGCUCAACCGGGGAACUGCGUCCGAUACUUGCGGGCUUGAAUUCGGGAGAGGGAUGUGGAAUUCCAGGUGUAGCGGUGAAAUGCGUAGAUAUCUGGAGGAACACCGGUGGCGAAGGCGGCAUCCUGGACCGACAUUGACGCUGAGGCGCGAAAGCCAGGGGAGCAAACGGG